GCUUCUUCUUAAGAGACAUCCCGUAAAAUGGGAAUGAUAUUAGAGAAGAUUAAUAUGGUUCUGUGCAAGGAUGACACUCACAAAUCAAGAAAUGGUGAAAUGGUAU
rnacentral:snRNA from 1 species